UAGGGAAUAUUGCUCAAUGGGCGAAAGCCUGAAGCAGCAACGCCGCGUGUGUGAUGAAGGCCUUCGGGUCGUAAAGCACUUUUCUGGGAGAUGAGAAAGGACAGUAUCCCAGGAAUAAGUCUCGGCUAACUACGUGCCAGCAGCCGCGGUAAAACGUAGGAGGCGAGCGUUAUCCGGAUUCACUGGGCGUAAAGCGCGUGCAGGUGGCGCGGUAAGUUGGGCGUGAAAUCUCCCGGCUCAACUGGGAGAGGUCGUCCAAUACUACCGUGCUUGAGAGCAGAAGAGGAAGAUGGAAUUCCCGGUGUAGUGGUGAAAUGCGUAGAUAUCGGGAGGAACACCAGUGGCGAAGGCGAUCUUCUGGUCUGUUUCUGACACUCAGACGCGACAGCUAGGGUAGUAAACGGGAUUAGAGACCCGGUAAUCCUAGCCGUAAACGAUGUGAACUUGGCGUUGGUGGGUUAAACUCCA
rnacentral:rRNA from 1 species